AGAGUUUCCUUUUGGCUCAGGACGAACGCUGGCGGCGUGCCUAAUACAUGCAAGUCGAGCGAGCUUGCCUAGAUGAUUUUAGUGCUUGCACUAAAUGAAACUAGAUACAAGCGAGCGGCGGACGGGUGAGUAACACGUGGGUAACCUGCCCAAGAGACUGGGAUAACACCUGGAAACAGAUGCUAAUACCGGAUAACAACACUAGACGCAUGUCUAGAGUUUGAAAGAUGGUUCUGCUAUCACUCUUGGAUGGACCUGCGGUGCAUUAGCUAGUUGGUAAGGUAACGGCUUACCAAGGCAAUGAUGCAUAGCCGAGUUGAGAGACUGAUCGGCCACAUUGGGACUGAGACACGGCCCAAACUCCUACGGGAGGCAGCAGUAGGGAAUCUUCCACAAUGGACGAAAGUCUGAUGGAGCAACGCCGCGUGAGUGAAGAAGGGUUUCGGCUCGUAAAGCUCUGUUGGUAGUGAAGAAAGAUAGAGGUAGUAACUGGCCUUUAUUUGACGGUAAUUACUUAGAAAGUCACGGCUAACUACGUGCCAGCAGCCGCGGUAAUACGUAGGUGGCAAGCGUUGUCCGGAUUUAUUGGGCGUAAAGCGAGUGCAGGCGGUUCAAUAAGUCUGAUGUGAAAGCCUUCGGCUCAACCGGAGAAUUGCAUCAGAAACUGUUGAACUUGAGUGCAGAAGAGGAGAGUGGAACUCCAUGUGUAGCGGUGGAAUGCGUAGAUAUAUGGAAGAACACCAGUGGCGAAGGCGGCUCUCUGGUCUGCAACUGACGCUGAGGCUCGAAAGCAUGGGUAGCGAACAGGAUUAGAUACCCUGGUAGUCCAUGCCGUAAACGAUGAGUGCUAAGUGUUGGGAGGUUUCCGCCUCUCAGUGCUGCAGCUAACGCAUUAAGCACUCCGCCUGGGGAGUACGUUCGCAAGAAUGAAACUCAAAGGAAUUGACGGGGACCCGCACAAGCGGUGGAGCAUGUGGUUUAAUUCGAAGCAACGCGAAGAACCUUACCAGGUCUUGACAUCCCUCUGACCGGGAUUUAACCGUCCCUUUCCUUCGGGACAGAGGAGACAGGUGGUGCAUGGUUGUCGUCAGCUCGUGUCGUGAGAUGUUGGGUUAAGUCCCGCAACGAGCGCAACCCUUACCUUCAGUAGCCAGCGGUUCGGCCGGGCACUCUGGAGGGACUGCCAGGGACAACCUGGAGGAAGGUGGGGAUGACGUCAAAUCAUCAUGCCCCUUAUGAUCUGGGCUACACACGUGCUACAAUGGCGUAAACAAAGGGAAGCGAGACAGUGAUGGCAAGCAAAUCUCAGAAAUAACGUCUCAGUUCGGAUUGCAGUCUGCAACUCGACUGCAUGAAGCUGAAUCGCUAGUAAUCGCGAAUCAGAAUGUCGCGGUGAAUACGUUCCCGGGUCUUGCACUCACCGCCCGUCA
rnacentral:rRNA from 1 species